UCUAAUAUGGCAGAAUAGUGCAAUGAAUUUAAGAUUCAUUUAUAAGAAGUUUUUCUUUGUUAGAA
rnacentral:tRNA from 1 species